GGUGUUAACAGUGGGAUCCUGGACUGUCCUGCAGCUAUAAUGGCUCAGACAUGGGUGUGAGAGGGCACUGAGACUAGGCAUGCUCGGUGCAGGGUACAGACACAGAAAUACAGGCUGCUAUAGCCAAAAUAAGAAUGCCCACACAGCCUUUGAAAGAGCCACCCGGAUACCAUGCGAAGAACUGCUGCAGUACAGAAGAAAACCCCCCACAAAUCGCACACCGCUGGUUAUGACAUAUCACCAAACGCCCUGAUGGAAAAUACGUAGGAGAGACCAAACAACAACUGUGCACCAGAAUGAACGCACACCGGAAAUCUAUCAAAGACAGGAAUACCCAAUGACCGGUGGGGGCACAUUUCUCACAAGAAAACCACCCUCUCUCCAUCCUCUCAGUCCUGAUCCUCAAAGGAAACUUACACAACACUUCCCAGAGACGAGCCUAUGAACUCCACUUCAUCAACCUCCUGGAUACUAAAAAUCAUGGACUAAACAUAGACAUUGGAUUUAUAAUACAUUAUAACCUGCCUGACAUCUGA